rnacentral:lncRNA from 1 species
CACAAACCAGUUUUUGUUCUAUAUUAUCGGUUUGUAGCUUGGAAUUUAGAUAAUUAUGAAGGUUGGGAUAAAACAUGAUGAUCAAGAAAAUGUUGCCAAUUAUUAUUAAUGCUUAAAUUCAAAAACAAAACAACGAAGAGAAACCCCUGUAGUUAGGGAUCAAUCAUUCCUGAAACUUGCUAAGAACCAACGAGCUCUAGAGAAUGAAACACAGGAACCCCUGUAGCAGC